CUCGCGGCCUAUCAGCUUCGUUCGGUGGGGGAAAAGGCCUACCAAGGGCCGUUCACCAGGUAGCCGGCCUUGAGAAGGGUGGAACGGCCACAUUUGGGACUGAGAUAACGGCCCAGAACUCCUACGGGAUGGCAGCAGUCGGGGAAAUAUUGCACAAUAGGGCGCAAGCUCUGAACGCAGCGACCCCGCGUUGGGGGAACGAACGGCCUUUCGGGUUGUAAAACUCCUUUCGUUAGGGACGAAAGCCGCACCUGUUUUUGGGUGUUGGUUGACGGUACCUUUUGUUAAGAAAGCACCGGCUAACUACGUGCCAGCCAGCCGCGGUAAUACGUAGGGUUGCGAGCCUUUGUCCGGAAUUACUGGGCGUAAAGAGCUCGUAGGUGGUUUGUUUGCGUCGUCUGUGAAAUUCCGGGGCUUAACUUCGGGGUGGCAGGCGAUACGGGCAUAACUAGAGUGCUGUAGGGGAGACUGGAAUUCCUGGUGUAGCGGUGGAAUGCGCAGAUAUCAGGAGGAACACCGAUGGCGAAGGCAGGUCUCUGGGCAGUAACUGACGCUGAGGAGCGAAAGCAUGGGGAGCGAACAGGAUUAGAUACCCUGGUAGUCCAUGCUGUAAACGGUGGGCGUUAGGUGUGGGGACCGGUUUGGUUUCUGUGCCGUAGCUAACGCAUUAAGCGCCCCGCCUGGGGAGUACGGCCGCAAGGCUAAAACUCAAAGGAAUUGACGGGGGCCCGCACAAGCGGCGGAGCAUGUGGAUUAAUUCGAUGCAACGCGAAGAACCUUACCUGGGUUUGACAUGCACCAGACGGUUGUAGAGAUACGUACCUCCCUUUGUGGUUGGUGUGCAGGUGGUGCAUGGUUGUCGUCAGCUCGUGUCGUGAGAUGUUGGGUUAAGUCCCGCAACGAGCGCAACCCUUGUCUUAUGUUGCCAGCACGUUUGGGUGGGGACUCAUGAGAGACUGCCGGGGUUAACUCGGAGGAAGGUGGGGAUGACGUCAAAUCAUCAUGCCCUUUAUGCCCAGGGCUUCACACAUGCUACAAUGGUUAGUACAACGCGCAGCAAACCUGUGAGGGUGAGCGAAUCGCUGAAAGCUAAUCUCAGUUCGGAUUGGGGUCUGCAACUCGACCCCAUGAAGUCGGAGUCGCUAGUAAUCGCAGAUCAGCAAUGCUGCGGUGAAUACGUCCCCGGGCCUUGUACACACCGCCCGUC
rnacentral:rRNA from 1 species